GCCUGGAAAGCUCAGUUGGUUGCAGCAUGGUGCUGAUAAUGUCAAGGUUGCAGGUUCAAUCCCUGUGUGGGACA
rnacentral:tRNA from 1 species